AGUGAACGCUGGCGGUAGGCCUAACACAUGCAAGUCGAACGGCAGCACAGUAAGAGCUUGCUCUUACGGGUGGCGAGUGGCGGACGGGUGAGGAAUACAUCGGAAUCUACUUUUUCGUGGGGGAUAACGUAGGGAAACUUACGCUAAUACCGCAUACGACCUACGGGUGAAAGCAGGGGAUCUUCGGACCUUGCGCGAUUGAAUGAGCCGAUGUCGGAUUAGCUAGUUGGCGGGGUAAAGGCCCACCAAGGCGACGAUCCGUAGCUGGUCUGAGAGGAUGAUCGGCCACACUGGAACUGAGACACGGUCCAGACUCCUACGGGAGGCAGCAGUGGGGAAUAUUGGACAAUGGGCGCAAGCCUGAUCCAGCCAUACCGCGUGGGUGAAGAAGGCCUUCGGGUUGUAAAGCCCUUUUGUUGGGAAAGAAAUCCAGCCGGCUAAUACCUGGUUGGGAUGACGGUACCCAAAGAAUAAGCACCGGCUAACUUCGUG
rnacentral:rRNA from 1 species